GAAACUCUGUCAUCUGGAAGAAGCAUCUUCCAUUAAGACAUGACCAGUCAUCUCAGAAAGAACAAAGCUCUUGGAGUAUAAAGCCCACCAGAUAAUAUGCACUGCUGUCCAUGGAUUGUGUAUGAGGAAAGUCCACAGAGUUUGACCAUGGAACUGAAUAGAUGUGGAUUCUUUUCAUGUCUUGCCAACUCUUGAGAUGCGAAGGAUCUCCUCUUGAGGAAGACAUGGAGCAGGCAGUGGGCUUCACCACAACAAAUGGAAUCAUCCUCCCCAUGAAGGAGAGACCUAGGAGAAUUGCAGUCACGCAUCCUGAAGGGCCAAAAGGAAUUUACACAGAAGAUAGAGUUCAAGGCUGGUUCACAAAUGGAAGGCCUCACAAAUCAACUUGUCCAGAAUUGCUGACAUCUCAACGCCUUCCCAGAUGUGAAUGAUAGCCAAUUCUACUUGAGAUCAAAUUCGAGGGCAGUCCACGAACUUAUGGCCUAAACAGCUCAGCAAGUCAUGAAUUGCCAGUUUCUCCCAGCACCCACAGUUGUGAAGGAAGGAAACCAUUCGAUUUGAGAAAACUGAGCAUAGGGCAUGGGCUUCGAGAACAACUGGACUGUUUCUCUCAUGUGGGUUAGUGACAGAAGAGACCUAGGAGUACGACAGCUUCCAAUCCUGAGUAGCCCAUAAAGGAGUC